rnacentral:misc_RNA from 1 species
GAUGAAGAAACGUAGCGAAAUGCGAUAAGUAAUGUGAAUUGCAGAAUUCAGUGAAUCAUCGAAUCUUUGAACGCACCUUGCGCCCUUUGGCUAUUCUGAAGGGCAUGCCUGUUUGAGUAUCGUGAACACCUCAACUCUCAUGGUCUGCCAUGAUGAGCUUGGACUUUGGGGGUCUUGCUGGCCUACUGUCAGCUCCUCUCAAAUGAAUCAGCUUACCAGUGUUUGGUGGCACCACAGGUGUGAUAACUAUCUACGCUUGUGGUUUUCUGCCAGGUAACCUCCAGUGAUGGAGGUUCGCUGGAGCUCACAAAUGUCUCUCCUCAGCGAGGACAGCUUUUUGAACGUUUGAUCUCAAAUCAGGUAGGACUACCCGCUGAACUUAAGCAUAUCAAUAAGCGGAGGA